GAAAGAGUUCCUUGGGUGCGGGUAAUCCAGAGAACCUCUCAAAUUGUUCAUAUGCCUGCCCAAUAAACAUCUCCAACCCUGAAACUGCUAUGGCUCCAGAUUCCUCUGCUUCUCUCAAGAGUCUGGUAAUUUUAGGGGUGUAAACAGCAUCGAAGACCAGUGAGUAGUAUCUCAACGCAGGCUUAGCAACUGGUGUCUCCUCAACUUUUGGUUGCAUUCCAAUAGAUGUCGUGUUUGCAAGAAUCAUGCCAUCCUCUGGAUGGAAAUUAUCCAAAUCAGCAAGAGAUAUAGCAUCUCCUCCAACUAUGUCUGCAAGUUCUUUUGCUCGAUCAUAGGUGCGAUUGGCAAUCACAACCCUUGCACCUUUUUCUUUUGCACCAUAAGCAAGUGCCUUGCCUGCACCACCAGCACCAAUGACCACAAACAGCUUACCAGCUAAAGGUGAACCAGCUGCACUGCUCAUAUUUUGUGAAACUCGCAGUCCCUCCUCAAUAGCAGAAAUGGCACCAACAUAGUCUGUGUUGUAACCAAAUAACUUCCCAUCAUUUUGUCUCCUUAUAAUGCAAUUAACGGCUCCUAUUGACUUUGCAACUGGAUCAACCUCAUCACAGCACUUUAAGGCAGCCUCCUUAUGAGGAAUUGUACAACUGAAUCCUGCAAAAUCUGUGGAUGAGAAAGUCUGGAGAAAAUUGGCUAUGUCAUCCACUAACAAAUGAACAUACACACCAUUGAAUCCAACUGACUUGAAUGCUUCAUUGUAUAAAAUAGGUGAUUUGCUGUGGC
rnacentral:misc_RNA from 1 species